rnacentral:rRNA from 1 species
CAACGAGUCGCAAGACCGCGAGGUUUAGCAAAUCUCUUAAAGCCGUUCUCAGUUCGGAUUGUAGGCUGCAACUCGCCUACAUGAAGUCGGAAUCGCUAGUAAUCGCGGAUCAGCAUGCCGCGGUGAAUACGUUCCCGGGCCUUGUACACACCGCCCGUCACACCAUGAGAGUUUGUAACACCCAAAGCCGGUGGGGUAACCUUUUGGAGCCAGCCGUCUAAGGUGGGACAGAUGAUUGGGGUGAAGUCGUAACAAGGUACC